UACGGAGGGUGCAAGCAUUAAUCGGAUUUAUUGGGCGUAAAGGGCGCGUAGGCGGGAGUAUAAGUCAAGUGUGAAAUGCCGGGGCUCAACCCCGGAACUGCACUUGAUACUGUAUUUCUUGAGGGUAGGCGGAGAAAAUGGAAUUCCACAAGUAGCGGUGAAAUGCGUAGAUAUGUGGAAGAACACCUGUGGCGAAAGCGGUUUUCUAGCUUGUUCCUGACGCUGAGGCGCGAAAGCAAGGGGAUCAAACAGG
rnacentral:rRNA from 1 species